rnacentral:rRNA from 1 species
UGGGGAAUUUUGGACAAUGGGCGAAAGCCUGAUCCAGCAAUGCCGCGUGUGUGAAGAAGGCCUUCGGGUUGUAAAGCACUUUUGUCCGGAAAGAAAUCCUUGGCUCUAAUACAGUCGGGGGAUGACGGUACCGGAAGAAUAAGCACCGGCUAACUACGUGCCAGCAGCCGCGGUAAUACGUAGGGUGCAAGCGUUAAUCGGAAUUACUGGGCGUAAAGCGUGCGCAGGCGGUUUGCUAAGACCGAUGUGAAAUCCCCGGGCUCAACCUGGGAACUGCAUUGGUGACUGGCAGGCUAGAGUAUGGCAGAGGGGGGUAGAAUUCCACGUGUAGCAGUGAAAUGCGUAGAGAUGUGGAGGAAUACCGAUGGCGAAGGCAGCCCCCUGGGCCAAAUACUGACGCUCAUGCACGAAAGCGUGGGGGAGCAAAACAGGAUUAGAUACCCUGGUAGUCCACGCCCUAAAACGAUGUCAACUAGUUGUUGGGGAUUCAUUUCCUUAGUAACGUAGCUAACGCGUGAAAGUUGACCGCCUGGGGAGUACGGUCGCAAGAUUAAAAACUCAAAGGAAUUGACGGGGUCAUAGCUGUUUCCU